UACGGAGGGGGCUAGCGUUGUUCGGAAUUACUGGGCGUAAAGCGCACGUAGGCGGCUUUGUAAGUUAGAGGUGAAAGCCCGGGGCUCAACUCCGGAAUUGCCUUUAAGACUGCAUCGCUAGAGUUGUGAGAGGUAAGUGGAAUUCCGAGUGUAGAGGUGAAAUUCGUAGAUAUUCGGAAGAACACCAGUGGCGAAGGCGACUUACUGGACACAUAUUGACGCUGAGGUGCGAAAGCGUGGGGAGCAAACAGG
rnacentral:rRNA from 1 species